AUUCCAGCUCCAAUAGCGUAUACUAAAGUUGUUGCAGUUAAAAAGCUCGUAGUUGGAUUUCUGGCGGGGACGGCUGGUGGGGCCCGUGAGGGUCUCUACUGACGCCUGGUUCCCGUCAUCCUCGGGGAGAGCGGCCCUGGCAUUAAGUUGUUGGGGUCGGGAUCCUCGUCUUUUACUGUGAAAAAAUUAGAGUGUUCAAAGCAGGCUUAGGCCCUGAAUACAUUAGCAUGGAAUAAUAAGAUAUGACCUUGGUGGUCUAUUUUGUUGGUUUGCACGCCAAGGUAAUGAUUAAUAGGGAUAGUUGGGGGUAUUCGUAUUCAAUUGUCAGAGGUGAAAUUCUUGGAUUUAUGGAAGACGAACUACUGCGAAAGCAUUUACCAAGGAUGUUUUCAUUAAUCAAGAACGAAAGUUAGGGGAUCGAAGAUGAUUAGAUACCAUCGUAGUCUUAACCAUAAACUAUGCCGACUAGGGAUC
rnacentral:rRNA from 1 species